GCUCUCGUAACUCAGAUGGUUAGAGUGUUGGUCUUAUGUGCCAAAAGUCGUGAGUUCAAUCCUCACCGGGAGCA
rnacentral:tRNA from 1 species